rnacentral:rRNA from 1 species
ACUCAAAGGAAUUGACGGGGACCCGCACAAGCGGUGGAGCAUGUGGUUUAAUUCGAAGCAACGCGAAGAACCUUACCAGGUCUUGACAUGCCAGUGCCAGGUGUAGAGAUACACCCUCUCUUCGGAGCACUGGACACAGGUGGUGCAUGGUUGUCGUCAGCUCGUGUCGUGAGAUGUUGGGUUAAGUCCCGCAACGAGCGCAACCCUUAUUGUUAGUUGCCAUCAUUAAGUUGGGCACUCUAACGAGACUGCCGGAGAUAAUUCGGAGGAAGGUGGGGAUGACGUCAAAUCAUCAUGCCCCUUAUGACCUGGGCUACACACGUGCUACAAUGGGGUAUACAACGAGAAGCGAGCGAGUAAUCGUGAGCGAAUCUCUGAAAAUACUUCUCAGUUCGGAUUGUGGGCUGCAACUCGCCCACAUGAAGUCGGAAUCGCUAGUAAUCGCGGAUCAGCACGCCGCGGUGAAUACGUUCCCGGGUCUUGUACACACCGCCCGU